rnacentral:snRNA from 1 species
GGCCAAUGGCCCACACGAUAUUAAAUUAAUUUUUUAUGAGGGAGGGUUCGUUCGGCUAGCUUGCUAGUCUGAAUCCUUAUGUGUCGCCUCAGUGUUGCACUGUUGCUUGGGCCUGGCACGCCUCUA